CGUAGGGGGCAAGCGUUGUCCGGAUUUAUUGGGCGUAAAGCGCUCGCAGGUGGUCCGCUGCGUCGUGCGUGAAAGACCCCGGCUCAACUGGGGGAUGUCGUGCGAUACGGGCGGACUGGAGGCCAGUAGGGGGAUGCGGAAUUCCGGGUGUAGUGGUGGAAUGCGUAGAGAUCCGGAGGAACACCAGCGGCGAAGGCGGCAUCCUGGACUGGUCCUGACACUCAGGAGCGAAAGCGUGGGGAGCGAUCCGGAUUAGAUACCCGGGUAGUCCACGCCGUAAACGAUGAGCACUAGGUGUCGGGGGUAUCGACCCCCUCGGUGCCGCAGCCAACGCGAUAAGUGCUCCGCCUGGGGACUACGGCCGCAAGGCUA
rnacentral:rRNA from 1 species